UUGUUGUAGCUCUUCCCAGUA
rnacentral:tRNA from 3 species